rnacentral:tRNA from 1 species
AUAUAUAUAGUAUAAUCAAUUACAUUUAAUUUCCAAUUAAAAAAUUUAUAAUUUUUAAUAUAUAUA